AAAGGAAGGAAGGCAAGGAGAAAGGAAGAAAGGAAGGAAGGAAGGAAAGAAAAAAAAUAAGAGUGGAAGAGUUAUGUGAAAGUACAACAUACACUCUCAGCAGCCAGGGGCCCAGACCCUCCUUUCAGACUUUUGGACCCUGUGAAUGUGUGCAUCAGAAAGCUCUUAGCAGGAGCGAGAACAAAUACGCAGCAAGAAGAAUUGCAGUGGAGAAUAUUAAAGAACAUGGAAAAUCAUAUAUUGUAUCCAGAGGAAAUCACUAGGAAAAGACCCUAUGGCUCAUAGCACGUGUAGUAGAAAUGAGACAACCAUUCUCAGUAAAAGGAAUGACCAGAAUGAAGACAUUCUGUUAAGCAUGACACAACCAGGCUUACAUGUGUAUGACACAGAUGCAUGUUACAGGCAUAUGUGAAUCACAAAGGUUUCUCCUUUAACCCGCACAACAACCUCAUGAGACCAUCAUUAAUAAAAUACUACAGUUCUGGGCCUUCUGGGAACUCAGACAUGAUAGCAGCAGAUAAUUGCCUUUGAGAGGAAUAUCAACAAGCAUGAAAUCUUCUUUCCAACUAAGUUAGACUUUAAUAUUGGAAGCCUUGCACAUAACACAACAUCGAUGACUUAUAUCCCUCUGCCUGCCUGAGGAUCACCUGUUCCAAAGAUUUCAGAAGGUGUAGUGUAUCUCUGUUUUAAAGGGAAAGGAUACACAAUGUUCUUAAAGAGAUCAAGAACUACCCCUUUAUCCUGUGAAUCUGGACAUGUCCUUUGACACUGAUGUGCACAUGAGAGAGGCAAACUUUCUAGCUGGGCAAGUUUUCUAGUUCUUUCAUUUGCAACUAAGACACUAAAUACUAAAAGAGAGACCCCUGUCUUUGUGUGGGGGCGGGUGUGUUUACUCAAUUUCCCUCUGAUUCAUAUUUCCCUAAACUGUACAUAUCCUGUUCCUACUCAACCAGUAGAAAAAACAUUUUAAAUAAUGAUGAAGAAAGAUUAGAGAAUAUAUAAUUCAAUGAAUGAGUCUAAAGAUGAAGGGAAUGUUCAUUAUUCUGUAUCAUGCCAAUGAGAGAUGACAGAGUAUAUAACUCUUAAAAAAACCACAAUAUCUUCAAUAAAUACAAACUUUAAUAGUCUUUUAAAACAAUCAUAGUUGCUUACCUCAAUUAACAGAGCAGUACUUGGUGUGGUAUAUGAGAAUUUCUGUCACACCUUCUCCAAUAUGGCACUUCUAAUUUUAAAAAUAAACUAUUCUAGAUAGGUUGUUUAUAAAGUAGGUAGAGAUUUCUUAGAAUAAGUUAUGAAGAUGAAUAUGUUAAAAAUAUUUGACAAAAUAAUUAGAUUUUAACAAAAAAGGAAACAUGAAACAGUUAUAUUUUAUAUGGGAAUAAGAAGAAUAUCAAGCAGUAUUGUGUCUACAUUAUUUCUAAUUUUUUAAAAUUAAGUAUUGAAGAUAUAGUAAGAAUGUUUGUAAACACUGUUAGCGAUAAAUAAUUACAAUGCAAUGAACACUGUGUACCUAAUAUAGGUACCCAAUUUAACUAAUAUAGCAUUGAGAGGUGAAGCCAGCUGGACUUCCUGGGUUGAGUGGGGACUUGGAGAACUUUUCUGUCUAGCUAAAGGUUUGUAAACACACCAAUCAGCACUCUGUAAAAAUGCACCAAUCAGCACUCUGUGUCUAGCUAAAGGUUUGUAAACACACCAAUCAGCACCCUGUAAAAACACACCAAUCAGCACUCUGUGUCUUGCUAAAGGUUUGUAAACCCACCAAUCAGCACUCUGUAAAAAUGCACCAAUUGGCACUCUGUGUCUAAAGGUUUUAAAUGCACCAAUCAGCACUAUAAAAACGCACCAAUUGGCGCUCUGUGUCUAGCUAAAGAUUUGUAAACGCACCAAUCAGCACUCUGUAAAAAUGGACCAAUCAGUGCUCUAUAAAAUGGACCAAUCAGCAGGAAGUGGGAAGGGCCAAAUAAGUGAAUAAAAGCUGGCCACUGGAGCCAGCAGCAGCAACCUCCUGGGGGCCCCUUCCACGUUGUAGAAGCCUUUUUCUUUUGCUGUUUGCAAUAAAUCUUGGUGCUGCUCACUCUUUGGGUCCACACAGUCUUUAUGAGCUGUAACACUCACUACGAAGGUCUGCAUCUUCAUUCCUGAAGUCUGCCAGACCACGAACCCAUCAGGAGGAAUGAACAACUGUGGACGCGCCACCUUUAAGAGCUGUAACACUCACUGCGAAGGUUUGCAGCUUCACUCCUGAAGUCAGCAAGACUACAAACCCACUGGGAUGAACGAACAACUCUGGACGUACCACCUUUAUGAACUGUAACACUCACUGCGAAGGUCUGCAGCUUCACUCCUGAAGUCAGCGAGACCACGAACCCACCAGAAGGAAGAAACUCCAGACACGUCUGAACAUCAGAAGGAACAAACUCCGGACACACCAUCUUUAAGAACUGUAACACUCACGGCGAGGGUCUGCAGCUUCAUUCUUGAAGUCAGCAAGACCAAGAACCCACCAAUUCUGGACACAGCAUGCCGAUCACUUUUAAGGCCCUCAUGGAUCCAUUACUGAGAUCAGCCAUUACUCCUACCCACCAAAGGUAUAAAAUAAACAUAGUGCUUUAUCAUUCCCUCACUGUUCUUCAUAGUUUUACUACAUUGGUUAAUAACCUCUAACAUCCUACUUUGCAUGUUUUUAAAGUUUGUGUAACUAGACUUGCUUUUUUCUCUCAGUGUCAUGUCUCUAUGAUAGAAUCGCUCUUUUAUGCAUCUGUUGUUUGUUAAUUCUCAUUAAUGUAUAGAGUAUCCCAUUAUGUGAAAAUACCCCAUUAUCCCCCUCUAUUCAACUGUUCAUGGACAUUUGGGCUUUUUCCACUAUUUUGCUAUUGUAAACAUUGCUGCUGUUAACGUUCACCCCUGUGUCUCCUGAUUCAGAUAUCCUGGGACACAUAAGUGUCCCUUAGGUUUAUAGCUAAGAAUAGAAUUGCUAAGUCAUAGGGCAUGCAUAUGUUCAAUUUUACUGUAAUAUGGCAAUUUGUUUCCCAAAUACGUUUAUUUGAAACAUGGACUUUUCCAAUUUUAUUUGUUCCACAUCUUUGCCAAAACUUCAUAUUACAUGACUUUUAAUUUUUGCCAAUCCUGUAUCUCACCCUUCAUUUUAAUAUGUAUGUCCCUCGUUAUUAAUGAGGUUCACAAGAUAUGAUUUCUCAUCUGUGGUAUGCCUAUUUAUGGUAUUUCCUUGUGUAUUUUGUGGUUUUUGACUCUAAGUUGAUAUUCCUUGAAGCUUUAUCUGAAGGAAUUCUUUGAUGCCUGAGUCAAAUGUGAACUAAAUCAGAUAUAAUUUGCAUUUUCUCCUGCCACAUAUUUAGAAGCUUUACCAAACUUCACCAACUGUAAAUAUUUGACUUGAGGGUUUUCUCUCUUUCUCUCUUUCUCUCUCUCUCUCUCUUUCUUUGGAUUUCCCAAGUAGAAUGAAUUCAGGAUGCAAACCAUAAAUGAGAACCUACUUGUGGUUACUAAAAUUCCUGGUUUUUGUUUUUCUUCACUCAUUGUCAAGGCUCAAGGAAGACAAUUAUUUUUGCUAUAACCUGGUAUAGACAGGUUAUUUGUAAUUUACCUUAAAAUGUAGCUACAGCCCUUUAUGUCUUUAGAAUCUUGGGCAUGUCUCCUUAGAUGCUCACAUUAAACCAGCUUUAGGAGAUUGUUAUCUAAAGUAAUUAUGUUACUCUAAUAAUAAAAAUAUUGAAUGGCAAAACAUAUGAACUAUUCUUUUAGCUUAUAUUUAUAAAAUUAUAUAUUUUAUAUGCCACUUAUCAAUGUAUCUAGGAAGAGCUAUGUUAUAAAGACAAGAUAAUGUCAGAGAAAGAUAAUGUUUGUCUUCAAAUAUUAUUACUUUACAAUUUCAGAGAUUUCUAACCACAGAUUGGAAGCUACAUAUCAGAGUUUUAAAGUUUUAUAUCAUAAACAUUCUUCAACUCUCCUGACCUGGCUGGGUUAGAUCCCCACCUUCAACAAUGGUUUAAGAAUUAUGUCUUCCAUAAAUGUUGACAACCAUGCACAGAGGCAUCAUUCCCACCUACCCAAGAUCUCUAGACGUCAGCAUUCCUAAAUUCCUGCCUCAUCUCUUAGAGGAUUCACAGUCAGCCCCACUUAGUGUUGCAUCACCCUGCAGGGAGCCUCAUCAUCUUCCUAGAAAACCAGCCAACCUAGCAUCUCAACUUCCCACACGAAACAAACAAACGAAAACCUCACCUUUCAUAAAUGCAUCCAGAACUUUGCAAUCAUAAAAUCUAGAAACUAUUUUGCAUUCAACAGACAUCUAGAGUUGUAUUAUGUAGUUGAAUAAUAUUUUUACUUUGAAUUACCUAUGGAGGACACAAUAAAUUUCUGAUUUGAGGGGACAUAAAGUCUUAAUGUAGUCUGAUAUGUUUCUAAUAUGAGGAGAAAUAAAGUCUUAAUCUGGCCCUGGUUUCAUGUUCCAACAUUCCAUGCUUCCUUUUCUUGAUGUCUGGAUUUGGACUACUCCUAAAUUGCCCUUAAAGAGCCAUUACACCAAUAAUAGUUACUUAUUUUUUUUUAGUGUCUACUAUCUGCCAGACAACAUGUAUGUGUUUUACAUACAUUUUCUGUAAUUCUUACAAUGCUUCAUGAUGGCUCAAUAUUGCCCAACUAGUAAAUGCCUGAGCUGUAUCCUACCUCAGCUCAUUGCUUCCACGGUUUCUGCCUUCUGCUGUACGAUGCUACCACACAUUGUGAGAAAAUAGCCUUCCCAUUGUUCGCAUCCAGCAGAUGACUACAAAAUUAAACUAUUUCUUUCAGCACAAACAUGUUUAGAGUUGUUUGGCAAAUAAUAAAGGAAGAACCUUUUACUCUGAAAUCUUAAUUCACAUCUAUGCAUAAUGGAUGUUAACUCCGAAGCCAUGUAUUAUUUAAUAAUUAUCUAGUUAUAUCACUUUGUGUAUCAAUUUAUCAAGUCUGGAAUAAAGAAAUGGC
rnacentral:lncRNA from 10 species